UGAAUGGGAGUGAAUAGGGCAUGUCGAUUGAGCGCACAAAAUCUCUAUUUUUACAACACUAAGGAGGCUCGACACAACGUGAUACUUUACUCGAAGUAUCACGUGGGUCUCUACACAUGAACGCGAGCAUUGAGAACAUUGUUUGUGUACACAGAUUUUAGUAAAAGCGAAAAGUUUGGAACAACUUACCGUGCUGUUAAACUGCGUCCCGCCGCCAUAUUGCCAGUCAUGAGCAAUCGAUUUCAGAAUGCGAUUGAAUGGACUCCAUAGGACGCUACUUUUCAACUACAGGGUCAAUAUUGUUUUUCACUUGAGACAAAACAACAAAUUAUCCGUGCAUUUAUAUGGAACUAUGCUUUAGGAGCUAUCCAUCUUUACUCUCCUUCCUCCUUAUGUCGCAUUCUGAGAUCGAUUUCUCAUGACUGGCAAGAUGGCGGCGGGACGCAGUUUAACAGCACGGUCCUCCUCAUCCAGUGAGAGGCUGCUGUCUGAAUCCGUCGCCGUCUGAGAGCCCUGACUGGACUCGCUGUCUCCGAAACGAUUCGUGGUGUAGUCGCUCAUCUCACCAUCGCUGCUCGCCGCAAUAGUGGAGUGAAAGAGAGAUGCACAUUCGGCAGAGUAUUCAGAAAACUCGGAUUCACAGCGAGGAUGGUAGCGACCGGAGUUUGGAGCAGCUGGAUAUCUAGAUUCCAAGUAACUGAGAUUUGGUUUUCUUGUCUGCCUGACGCACCUUCUCCCUUUGGGACCCUGCAGGAACAAACUCUGCACGGACAAACUCUUCUGACUGAGGUGAGGAGCCAAAAGUCCUGUCUUCCUCUCGUCUGA